UUAAAGCAUUAAAUAUUUUGAUGUGGAAUGAACAGGCAUGGGCUUUGUGCUAAUGUCUCUCGUUGUUGAUAAAGACACCACUUUGCUAAAUAGUGACCCGAACGCCAGCCAAGAAUGGAGUUACAAUAGAUAUGUAGAGAGACUAGAAAUUUAGGCAAUAUGCAAGCUGGAUAUGUAUUGGUAGAGCUUGAGCCAUGCAAUGGUAUAUUGACUAGUACCUAACAAAAGCUUUUGGAGGACAGGAGGCAAAGCCUUGGAUCCCUGAGGUGACAGAAAUGAGUGCUAGUUGACUUUGUUCUGUUUGUGUUUGCUAAUGGGUAUUGCAUUUUCAGCCACCAUUCUACAAAGCUUUUGAGUACUGGUUGCACCCAGCACCAUGAAUUAAUAGUUUAUAUGGAUUUGUCCCCCUUUUCAUCCAAUAUAACUCCACCACAUCGCUCCUCUCUCUAACCCUCUCUAGCUACCAGCAAUCACCAGAACAAUUCCCCAUGGCUGGUUCUCAGACCAAGGCAUUGAGUCUCAUUCUCCUCCUCCUCUUCAUCCAUUUAUCCAUAGGUUAGAUAGUUCUCUCCAGUCUCCAGACUAUAUCAUCUUGUUUGCAGGGUAUUCAUUAAUAAGUAACCUAUGAUUUCCAUUUCAUUCUCUUGUAGGCCAAGUUUUGGGAGUUGCACAAGGCAUGAAGUACGCAAACCCACAAAGUGAGGUAAGUGAGUGAAUUAUUCUCAAUGUGUAUGAGGUGAUAAGUAAUGUUUAAGCCUUAAAAAGACUACAGUAAUAUGGUGCUGUUAAUUCCCAUAGUAAUUUGAGAUGGGAUAAUGUGCUCUUCAUAAAGUUUUGAACAUAUCCCUUUGUUAAAUUUUGAGGUGAGUUACGUUGGUCAUUUUCUUAAAAUGUCAUGAUGUCAUGAUGUCAUGUGCAUAAUGGAGUGUUCUAAAUCUUUGCAUUGAUUAGAAAUAGGAUAAUGUCUUUCUCGUUGAACUAAUUUUUGAGGGUUAGCUAGGUGCUAACUUAUGUAUUAUGGUUUGUUUGGUUUGCAGCCAAUUAUUGCUGAAAUGAAGAAGAUGAGAAAACUCAUAGAGAUUGAUGCUAUGUUGGACUACGAAGGGGCGGGGGCUAAUUGCAAACAUGAUCCAUCAAAAAAACCUAUUGGUUGCAAGCCUUGAACUACAAAUUAUAUCUUCUUAGCUUUUGCUUAAGCAUCAAUGCCAGGAGGCCUUUAAUGAAAUAAACACUAGCUCUUUCUGUGGAGAGGGUACAUCAUUAAGGAGCUCAGCUCAAUGAUAGAGAGCUUGUAUUGUAUUUUUUACAGUGGAUGGAUUUACCAUGAAUCAAUGUGAAACUCUUUGCAGUUUAUCUUCUUUCUUAAUAUCUAAUAUAUGCUUUUGCGUAUCUCUAAUGCCAUCAUCUUUUCUUUCUUGAUAUAUAAUAUUAUUACACAG
rnacentral:lncRNA from 1 species